rnacentral:tRNA from 1 species
GGUUUGGUGGUGUAGUUGGUUAUCACGCGUCCUUCACAUUUGUGCGCUCGGACGAGGUCCUGGGUUCGAACCCCUGCCGAACCA